rnacentral:rRNA from 1 species
UACGUAGGGGGCGAGCGUUAUCCGGAUUUAUUGGGCGUAAAGGGUGCGUAGGCGGUUUGUUAAGUCUAAGAUUAAAGCCCGGAGCUUAACUCCGGUUCGUUUUAGAAACUGGCAGACUUGAGUAUGGUAGAGGCAAGUGGAAUUUCUAGUGUAGCGGUUAAAUGCGUAGAUAUUAGAAGGAACACCAGUGGCGAAGGCGGCUUGCUGGGCCAUCACUGACGCUGAGGCACGAAAGCGUGGGGAGCAAAUA